GGAGAUGCUGUUUGCUGGAGUGCUUAUUCACAUGACGGCAAGCUGGGGCUAACUAUUGGCGGGAAUCUUGGUUCUUCACCACAUGGACCUCUCCGUAGGGCUAGCUGAGCAUCCUUAUGAUGUGAUAAGGUCCAGGCAGCUUCCAGUUUGAUUCUUAGACCUGCUGCAUCAACACUAUAAGGGAGCUUGCUGGGGACAUGAUUUAUCAGCCCCUAAAUCUAGUGAAACAGAUUCUCACAAGUGGACCCGGAAAUCUAUGCUAUUAUAGUUUCACAAGCAGGCUACAUAAUUUGUGGAACCCAAUAGAAAUGAAAAUGAAGAGCUUCCCUUUGUUCAAAAUUAAGAAUUCUGAGACAGUGGCAGAGGAGCAUUAAACCAAGUGUGGGGUGCUUGUAAGUGUAAGGACCAGUUCUGAUCUCCACAUGAUAUCUACAAUUAUUCAAUUAGGAAGGUUUGUCUCUUCUCCUUUCAGCAGCAGAUCAGGCUGCUCGAAAUUCAAAACAAUGGUGCAUGGUGGCCAACGACAGAACCAUCAGUGCUUCCCACCCUUACACAAGAUGGGGAAGCUCAGAUGACAUCAGUGAACACAGGCCUGUCAGCUAGAGGACAGGGCACUUUCGGAAGAGGACCCUGAGGCAGAGAGCCCUGGAAAACACAGCUGGCUGCAGACUGAGGAGGCUUGUUCUCCUCCCUGUGGAUGCUACUCCUCCAGAGGAUCCAGUGUUGUGCCAUCUCUUCCUUCAGCCAAGCGUCCCAGCCUAGCGGGGACAGGGCCAGACUCUACAAUGCAAACACAGCAUGAUUGGGAAGACCAUGGUGUCUCCUCAGUCAUCCCCCAAGAACCAUUUUCGGGAGUUUCUUAUCUGGACAACUGUUUUAAUGAUUUUGCCCCCCUGAGUUCAGACUUAGUAAUCAAUUCAGAGGCUUCAUUAACUAUUGUAAUUAUCUAUGCUUUGGUUGGGGUUGAGUGGGGGUGUAUUCAAGAAUUUUCCUUCUCUCUAUUGAAAGCUCGAGGAGGCUCCUGGGGGUGGUUUGUGUCUGGCCUGUGAGAAGAGCCUUCUCUUGUGCCCGGGGUGUGCUGGCUCUGAGCUUCAUAGGCUCCAGUAGUUGGCAGGUGAGCUCCUCAAGGUGCCAGGAGCUGGGAACCAAAAUGGUCUGAGUCCUGCCCUUGCUUGUGCACGAAGCAGACCCUGUCAGAACCUCCUAGCUCUUGGCUCACUCAUGACAGAAGACUACAAAAUGUCAUCUUGACCUUUGCUGUCACCAGGAGGCACUCCUUGACUAAUGUGCAAAGGCAAGAGGGCUCCUCUGCCAUCUGACAGAUGCUGCAACAGUGGCCCCUCUGGUGUCGUCCCCAUGAGUGUCUUGCUCCGGAAGCCCCACAAGGCCCUGCUAGGACCCCAACAGGCAGCUCCAAUGGGGGCUCUGUCUCCGCAGACAACCUCCCUGUGAUUCUUUAAGCAUUUUUGGAGGUUCAGGCUUGCCUUUGGUCCUUAAUCCCCUCAUUUAAUUAGUUUAUUUAAAUCUUGAACUUCUCUAGUUAUUAAAAGUAGUAGUAAUGACAGUGGGAAAUUAAUCCAGCCGAAGAAGAAAAUGUAGAGAAAAGUUGAGCUUCACUUUCAGGGCAUUAACGUUACAGAGCUCUGCAUUCCAAUUAUCCAUAAUAUGAUUUUAAUUUUUUUAAAGUUUAUAUCUGACUUAGUAUUCAAGGCAGACAAUGGUUCUGUGGAAGGAAAAAAAAAAAAAAGAAAUGUAGGACAACUAUAGAAAUUAGUACAGGCCCUCAGGCCCAGAGUCUUUCCAAGAAAUUAGGCCAGGCUCAAACAAACUCAGGCUCUGGAAAGGUAAGAGAUAAACAGGACUGUGAAAAUGCAUCUCUGUGCUCAAGCACAGUAGAAAUCCCAGCUCAGAAUCACUGCCAGGAGAAGCCACCUUGCUUUUUCUUGAUUGUUUAGUUUGUUUCCUCUUAUUUCCCCAUUGUAGUU